rnacentral:lncRNA from 1 species
GUGCGGAGCUGCGUGCGUGGGCGUGCACGAGUUGCGGGUCGGCCUCGUGAGUCUGCUCAGGUGGCUGGGGUCGCGCAGGAGGACAUGGCCGACAAGUAUGCUUCGCUGCAGCGGGCCUGGCUGCAUCUGGAUUUCCUCCACGCCAACUCCACAACUCAUGGUUUCCUUUUUGGAGCUCUUGCUGAAUUGCUGGACAAUGCAAGGUAAGAUUUACCCGUGAGCAAAAGUUAUUGAGGGAA